UGGAGACAGGCGGUCGAUGUGAGAAAAAGUCUCUAAAAAUUCCCUUUAAACUUUUUUAUUUAUUUAUUUAUUUUAAGUUUGUCUUAAGCGACGCAAGAACAAAUUAUUAUAAAUGUUUUUGAAAUUUUCUUUGGACUAGGAGCUGGAACGAUUUCUUUAAAUGAGGAAUAGUUUAAUGGUGAAGAUUUCAUCUAGAACGAACAGAUUUUUUUACUUGCCGCAAAAAAUGUUGCUUACUUUUAUUUCAUCCAUAUAGUUGAUAAACAUUAAACACAUAUCAUAAGCACUAUAUAAACAUUAUUAUUAUCUAUAUUUUAAUAUUCUAAUGUGAAAACUUUUUUUCUGUCCUUUUUCUGAAGUUAAAUAUUGGUAGUUAGUCAAAACUCUAAAAUUGGGUCGGCUGUACAACGACGGUUAUAAAAUAAAAUAUAUUUUGCAAUUUUUACGUGUAGAGUAAAAUUGUUUGUGUUAGAAUACUGGUCGCAAUCUGCGAGAAUCGUUAUAACUAAUUAAAUAAAUAGUUCCUUUCGGAAAAUUUUAUUGUUUUGCGUUAUAAUGACAUCAAACAAAUGUUAUUAUUGUUAUAAAUUUUUAAAAUAUUGUAUUUUUAAUUUUCAAUAAAUUUGGAAUAAAAAUAUUAAUUGCAAUUUUAAUGUUAUUAUAUCAUUCGUAAAAUUUCUUGUAUGUAUUUUACUGUAUUAUAAAACUGUAUAAGAUAUAUAUUGUUACUUUCACAUGUAAUUAAUAAAUAAAUAUCCACCAUUCGGAUUCUGAAA